GCCCGGUUAGCUCAAUCGGUAGAGCGUGAGACUCUUAACCCGGAAACAUCUCAAGGUUGCGGGUUCGACCCCCGCAUCGGGCU
rnacentral:tRNA from 1 species